GAUGAACGCUGGCGGCGUGCCUAAUACAUGCAAGUCGAACGGGUGUAGCAAUACAUUAGUGGCGAACGGGUGAGUAACACGUUGGUGACCUGCCCUAAAGCGGGGAAUACCACUUCGAAAGGAGUGACAAUACCGCAUAAGUUUACGCGAGUUAGAGGAGCGUAAAUAAAGGAGAAAUCCACUUUAGGAGGGGCCUGCGGCCCAUCAGCUAGUUGGUGAGGGUAAAAGCCCACCAAGGCGAAGACGGGUAGGGGACCUGAGAGGGUGAUCCCCCACAAUGGAACUGAAACACGGUCCAUACACCUGCGGGUGGCAGCAGUAGGGAAUAUUGCUUAAUGGGCGAAAGCCUGAAGCAGCAACGCCGCGUGAACGAAGAAGGCCUUCGGGUCGUAAAGUUCUUUUAUAUGGGAUGAGGAAGGACAGUACCAUAUGAAUAAGUCUCGGCUAACUACGUG
rnacentral:rRNA from 1 species